rnacentral:lncRNA from 1 species
UCGCCUCCCUUUGCUCUUUCCCUCUCCUUUCUCUCCAGCUCAUGAACAUCAAUCAACAGACCUUGCACAAAUUCGUGCAAUUUCAUGAAAUCUCUCAUCAAAUCGUCCUAUCCUUCUUCCCUAUCCGAGAAUCCCGCUGAUCUUUCCCUUUUGUUCUUCAAAUCUGAAGCACCAGACUCUCACCUUAGCAUUAAGACACCGUUUCAUUUUUUUCCUCUCAAGUCCGAACUCAGAGAAUCAUUCGCUUUGUCCCUAGGCUAUCAGGCCUGUGAUUUUCUUUCCACUUCACUGAUUGAAUUUAAAAAACCCAAAUCUGAAACCCUAGACUCCAAAGUGAAACUUCGAGUAUCCAAAUUUCUUUUAUGCUCGGUCAAAUCAGAGCAUGCAUGAGCGUAUAUCAAAGCCGCAUUAUGAUUAUUCGAGGUCCAGAGGUCAACUACAGUGACCUUUGGACACUGAAGCUUUGGCCGAUGGUUUUUGCCUUCAACGAUCAACUUCUCUUCUUCCAGGUAAAAACUCUUACUGAUUUCCCUCUGUCUCUCUAAUUCUUUACUCGCCUAUACUUGCAUCAUCUGGUAGUCAUCACUCUCCACUACAUAUGCUUUAAUCUGAAACCCUAGACCAUUAAAUGGCUAUAAAUAGAGCCUUGAUUGCUCUUACCUAAUAUCAUAGAACAACCUACAAUCACACCAAACAAUACCUACCAGGCCUAUCAAUAGUCUGAAAAAAUCUCAUACAAAUUAAGAAGCUAGGUUUCUUUUCUUAUUUAUCUCUGUUUCCCUUUGUUUUAGAGUUCAUUCACUGUUAAAAGCUUGAAGCUUUUGUUUUCAUACGGCUAAGUUAGAAAUCUCGUUUGGUCUGCUGCCCUAGAAAAGGUUAGUACAUUUCCAGCCCCUCUCUUUUGAUUGCCUUUAUUCGAAUAUCAUGAACACACUGCUGCACCUUUUAUACUUAUGAUUAUCUUUAAUCAGUAUUGACUAAGUUUUUAUGUGACCUCAAUGGUUUCUAUUUUGUAUCAAACAACCUAUGUGAUUAAGCUACUUAAUAUGCCUUAAUGACUUUUCAUGUUUGCAUAGGCUUCGUGUUUUCUUUUAAUGACUCUGCUAUAAUCUUAUCCCUGCCAUACUAUUUCUUCAUUUAUUGUUAAGGUUGUCAUUUGAUAAUCCUAAUUAGAACAAACAUGAAAAGCUCACAGCUUAAUCCUUCAUCACUUAAUUAAAAUAUGUGAAGUUUAAGUGUUUAAAUGCUCUCCUUCUUCGUAUAAGCUUUUGUUAACAUGUAAGCAUUCUUUGAGUCAUCACUAUGAGUCUUAUGCUUGUGCUUAACUGUUAAUCACAUCUCUAAGCCUCUUUUUAAUGGAACUGUUUCACUAAAGUAAUUAGGUCAACUCCUGCAAACACCAGAAACUCUUUUUUGCUUAGGUUUGUUAUGAUUAGGUUAUCUUUUAUAAAUUAGGUUAUAGUCAUGAUGAAUGUUAACUAUCUUACAAGUUGGGUACAAUUACAUCAUGCUCGAAUAUUAAUCUUAGUCUAUACAGUUGAGCUAAAAUGUUUGGUAUAAUAUCUUCCGUGUCUUUGACCUUUAAUGACAUUGUUAACCCGAUUUCACAAUGACUGAAACUUGUUUUUGUAAGACUAUAUGUGUAGUCUAAUGAAGGUUCUGUAUGUAUCUCUGUGUAUCUCUCAUGAUUUUAUUCUUCUGUGCACUAUCUUGAAACUGCAUAUGGUCUUCUCUUUCCCUUUUAAUCUAAAUUGGACCCAGUCUAUGAAGUUUAAGAGAAACUCUUUGUUGCUACUGUUUGAACAUAAUAGUUUGCUUAUUUCAUAAUAAGAUUGAUACUCUCAUAAAGGGUUGGUUCUGUCACCAAUUUCAAGGUUAAGUGAGACUGAUAGUCUAUGAUCUUGUUAAGCAUUCUUAGAUGUCCCGCUUGAAUCUCCAAACCUGCAAUCAUGUUAAAAGUUCUAAUUAUAUUCCGGUAGCUCUAAUAACCCAUAUAGAAGUUCUAACUAUGAUUGUUUGCCUGAACAUUUAUUGAUACUUCCAAAGUUCCAAACAAUAUUGACCUAUUGUGUGCAAAACUUGAGCCAAGCUAAUCUGUGAUCAAUCUGUUGGGGCAACAUCAUCUGUAUCCCUAAGUUGUUGCAGCCCUAGCUAUGUGUUCUUUAUCUAUCUUUGAGACGUUUGAUUCAAGUUAUUUGGUUCUUUAGCAAUAACAGUAUAAUAUUCCUGCCUCUGUGUGUGUUUGGAAACUUGAGGUUGAGGUCUGUUUAAUAUGUUAAUCAUUCACUUAGAACUAGAGCUAUAGUUAUAAGAAAUAAAAUUGUUUAUGUGUUCCUUAUGUUAUUCUAUUAUUAAAGUCAUGCUUCUGUGGAAGGGAAUAUUAUAUAAAUUGAUUUAAAUUGAAAGAGCCUCAUUGGCACCUAAACCUAUAGAGAAAAAUGAGUAGUUAGGGGUUAGGGGUAUUUAGGAGUAGAGUUUAACUCUAGGUUGGGCUGCUCUCCCCGGAACAAGCAUUGCCCUGGGCCUUGAGACCCUUGGGAACUUUAAAGUAUCGGGGGAUUCAAAGGGGGCAUCGGCCUUGAGUUGAAUUCUAUCAUUAGCCCUUAAUUCAUUGAUACUUGUUAUUCUAUUUAGCCUUAGUGUUUAAUGACAACGAAAGGUGUUUAAUGUGGAUCAUUUGCUAUACAUAACCAUCACAUUGGCAUAACCUUCUUAGUGUUUGAACACUGUUAGUUAUCCUUCUUUCAUUCUUUGGUUGCAAGCUUCAUGUAUGAGCAUGUAUAUUAUAUUGUAUUUCUAAUGACUUUCUCUUUUUUUUUUUAACAUGUACAAUGGCUUGGGACUGCUGAGUUCUUAAAGAACUCUGGCCCAAAUCCUGCAUUGCUAUAUCCUGGGAGUCCAGAGUCAGUUGUCUACCCUAUUAUUACUUAUGGGCCUGUCUCUUUGAGGCCCCAAAACCAGAGUCUUUUCUUUCCCUUUACUCCUUUAUUUACUGCUUUCGCUAUUCUAUAGCUCUAUAUUGUCGUUGUCCUUUAUUGUGUUCCUGUUGUUUUAUCUCAUAUGUAUACAACAAUUAUAUAUUGGAUUGGAUGCUUUA